AGAACGAACGCUGGCGGCAUGCCUAACACAUGCAAGUCGGACGCUUUCGGGGGUUUCGGCCUCCGAGGGAGUGGCGGAGGGUGAGUAGCGCGUGGGAACCUGCCCCUUUGUGGGGGAUAACCGAGGGAAACUUCGGCUAAUACCGCAUGCGCCCGGGGGUAACUCCGGGGAAAGAUUUAUCGCAGAGGGAGGGGCCCGCGUCGGAUUAGGUAGUUGGUGGGGUAACGGCCUACCAAGCCGGUGAUCCGUAGCUGGUCUGAGAGGAUGAUCAGCCACACUGGGACUGAGACACGGCCCAGACUCCUACGGGAGGCAGCAGUGGGGAAUAUUGGACAAUGGGCGCAAGCCUGAUCCAGCAAUGCCGCGUGAGUGAUGAAGGCCUUAGGGUUGUAAAGCUCUUUCGGCGGGACGAUGAUGACGGUACCCGCAGAAGAGCCCCGGCUAACUUCGUGCCAGCAGCCGC
rnacentral:rRNA from 1 species